rnacentral:rRNA from 1 species
UACGUAGGGUGCAAGCGUUAAUCGGAAUUACUGGGCGUAAAGCGUGCGCAGGCGGUUGUGCAAGACAGAUGUGAAAUCCCCGGGCUCAACCUGGGAACUGCAUCUGUGACUGCAUCGCUGGAGUGCGGCAGAGGGGGAUGGAAUUCCACGUGUAGCAGUGAAAUGCGUAGAGAUGUGGAGGAACACCGAUGGCGAAGGCAGCCCCCUGGGCUAACACUGACGCUCAGGCACGAAAGCGUGGGGAGCAAACAGG